rnacentral:rRNA from 1 species
GACGGGGGGGGGCAAGUGUUCUUCGGAAUGACUGGGCGUAAAGGGCACGUAGGCGGUGAAAUCGGGUUGAAAGUGAAAAGUCGCCCAAAAAAGUGGCGGAAAUGCUCUCGAAACCAAUUCACUUGAGUGAGACAGAGGAGAGUGGAAAUUUUCGUGUGUAGGGGGUGAAAAUCCGCAAUAAUACGAAAGGAACGCCAAAAGCGAAGGCCAGCUCUCU